UAAGUCAGAUGUGAAAUUACGAGGCUCAACCUCGUGGCUAUGUCUGAAACUAAGUUGCUAGAGUGUAUGAGAGGUAGCUGGAAUUUCUGGUGUAGGAGUGAAAUCCGUAGAUAUCAGGAGGAACACCAAUGGCGUAGGCAGGCUACUGGCAUAUUACUGACACUGAGGCACGAAAGCGUGGGGAGCGAACGGGAUUAGAUACCCCGGUAGUCCACGCCGUAAACGAUGAAUGCUA
rnacentral:rRNA from 1 species